rnacentral:rRNA from 1 species
CCUACGGGUGGCAGCAGUGAGGAAUAUUGGUCAAUGGCCGAAAGGCUGAACCAGCCAAGCCGCGUGAAGGACGACGGUGCCAAGGAUUGUAAACAUCUUUUGUCAAGGGACAAAAUCAGGCACGAGAGCCGGACUGAGGGUAGUCGAAGAAAAAGCAUCGGCUAACUCCGUGCCAGCAGCCGCGGUAAUACGGAGGAAGCGAGCGUUAUCCGGAUUUAUUGGGUUUAAAGGGUGCGUAGGCGGGACGUUAAAUCAGCGGUAAAAUUCCGGGGCUCAACCCCGUCGAGCCGUUGAAACUGGCUGUCUUGAGUUGUCGAGAGGUAUGCGGAAUGCGCGGUGUAGCGGUGAAAUGCUUAGAUAUUGCGCAGAACUCCGAUUGCGAAGGCAGCAUACCGGCGGCGCUCUGACGCUGAGGCACGAAAGCGUGGGUAUCGAACAGGAUUAGAUACCCGGGUAGUC